rnacentral:rRNA from 1 species
ACUCCUACGGGAGGCAGCAGUGGGGAAUAUUGCACAAUGGGCGCAAGCCUGAUGCAGCGACGCCGCGUGCGGGAUGACGGCCCUAGUGGUUGUAAACCGCUUUCAGCAGGGACGAAAAUGACGGUACCUGCAGAAGAAGUCCCGGCUAACUACGUGCCAGCAGCCGCGGUAAUACGUAGGGACAAGCGUUGUCCGGAUUCAUUGGGCGUAAAGAGCUCGUAGGCGGUUCAGUAAGUUGGGUGUGAAAGCUCCGGGCUCAACCCGGAGAGGCCACUCAAUACUGCUGUGACUAGAGUCCAGUAGAGGAGCGUGGAACUCCUGGUGUAGCGGUGAAAUGCGCAGAUAUCAGGAAGAACACCGGCAGCGAAGGCGGCGCUCUGGGCUGGUACUGACGCUGAGGAGCGAAAGCAUGGGUAGCAAACAGGAUUAGAUACCCUGGUAGCCUCUGCU